AGUGAACGCUGGCGGCGUGCUUAACACAUGCAAGUCGAACGAGAACGGAAUAUAGCUUGCUAUAUUUGUCAGCUAAGUGGCGCACGGGUGAGUAAUGUAUAGAUAACCUGCCCUUAAGAAAGGAAUAACAGUUGGAAACGACUGCUAAUGCCCUAUAUGCCUUUAAUACAUAAGUAUGCAAGGGAAACGCUUUAGUGCUUAAGGAUGGGUCUGUAUGGUAUCAGCUUGUUGGUGAGGUAAUGGCUCACCAAGGCUAUGACGCCUAACUGGUUUGAGAGGAUGGUCAGUAAAACUGGAACUGAGACACGGUCCAGACUCCUACGGGAGGCAGCAGUGGGGAAUAUUGCACAAUGGACGAAAGUCUGAUGCAGCAACGCCGCGUGGAGGAUGACACAUUUCGGUGCGUAAACUCCUUUUAUAUAGGAAGAUAAUGACGGUACUAUAUGAAUAAGCACCGGCUAACUCCGUGCCAGCAGCCGCCGUAA
rnacentral:rRNA from 1 species